UGGAUCCAGACUUUGAUUCUGGCUCAGGACGAACGCUGGCGGCGUGCCUAACACAUGCAAGUCGAGCGGGGAACAUUGAAAGCUUGCUUUUGGUGUUUCUAGCGGCGGACGGGUGAGUAACGCGUGAGCAAUCUGUCUCAGACAGGGGGAUAACGCAGCGAAAGUUGCACUAAUACCGCAUAAGACCACAGAGCCACAUGGCAUAGGGGUCAAAGGAGCAAUCCGGUCUGAGGUGAGCUCGCGUCCCAUUAGGUAGUUGGUGAGGUAACGGCCCACCAAGCCUGCGAUGGGUAGCCGACCUGAGAGGGUGAUCGGCCACACUGGAACUGAGACACGGGCCAGACUCCUACGGGAGGCAGCAGUGGGGAAUAUUGGGCAAUGGGGGAAACCCUGACCCAGCAACGCCGCGUGAGGGAAGAAGGUUUUCGGAUUGUAAACCUCUGUCCUAAGAGAAGAGGGGAAGACGGUAUCUUAGGAGGAAGCCCCGGCUAACUACGUGCCAGCAGCCGCGGUAAUACGUAGGGGGCGAGCGUUGUCCGGAAUGAUUAGGCGUAAAGGGCGUGUAGGCGGCUUUAUAAGUCUGGAGUGAAAGUCCUGUUUUCAAGAUGGGAAUUGCUUUGGAUACUGUAGGGCUUGAGUGCAGGAGAGGUUAUCGGAGUUCCCGGUGUAGCGGUGAAAUGCGUAGAGAUCGGGAGGAACACCAGUGGCGAAGGCGGGUAACUGGACUGCAACUGACGCUGAGGCGCGAAAGUGUGGGGAGCAAACAGGAUUAGAUACCCUGGUAGUCCACACUGUAAACGAUGAAUGCUAGGUGUAGGGGGUAUCGACCCCUUCUGUGCCGGAGUAAACACAAUAAGCAUUCCGCCUGGGGAGUACGGCCGCAAGGUUGCAACUAAAAGGAAUUGACGGA
rnacentral:rRNA from 1 species